AGUGAAGAACAACAAGUCAAAAAAGGAAAGAAGAAGAAAAAGAAAGGCGGAGAUACAGAAUUAGCUGAAUCUUUUGAAAUUAAAGAUGAAGUAAAAGAAAAUAAAUCAAAGAAAAU